AUUGAACGCUGGCGGCAGGCUUAACACCUGCAAGCCGAGCGAGCGGCGGACGGGUGAGGAAUGUCUGGGGAACUGCCUGAUGGAGGGGGAUAACUACUGGACACGGUCGCUCAUACCGCAUACCAUCAGAUGUGCCCAGAUGGGAUUAGCUAGUAGGUGGGGUAAGGGCUCACCUAGCCGACGCUCCCUAGCUGGUCUGAGAGGAUGAUCAGCGACGCUGAAACUGAGACACGGUCCAGACGCCUACGGGAGGCGGCCGGUGGGAAUAUGGCACAAUGGGCGCAAGCCUGCUGCAGCCAUGCCGCGUGUGUUAAGAAGGCCUUCGGUUUGUAAAGCACUUUCAGCGUUGAGGCGUUACUCUCUGAAGAAGCACCUGCUGACUCCGUGCCAGCAGCCGCGGUAAUAC
rnacentral:rRNA from 1 species